rnacentral:rRNA from 1 species
ACGCGAAGCCGUAGCGAAAGCGAGUCUGAAUAGGGCGCUUAGUCAGAUGCUGCAGACCCGAAACGAAGUGAUCUAUCCAUGAGCAAGUUGAAGCUAGUGUAAGAACUAGUGGAGGACUGAACCCAUAGGCGUUGAAAAGCCCCGGGAUGACUUGUGGAUAGGGGUGAAAGGCCAAUCAAACUUCGUGAUAGCUGGUUCUCUCCGAAAUAUAUUUAGGUAUAGCGUUGUGUCGUAAUAUAAGGGGGUAGAGCACUGAAUGGGCUAGGGCAUACACCAAUGUACCAAACCCUAUCAAACUCCGAAUACCUUAUAUGUAAUCACAGCAGUCAGGCGGCGAGUGAUAAAAUCCGUCGUCAAGAGGGAAACAACCCAGACUACCAGCUAAGGUCCCUAAAUCUUACUUAAGUGGAAAACGAUGUGAAGUUACUUAAACAACCAGGAGGUUGGCUUAGAAGCAGCCAUCCUUUAAAGAAAGCGUAAUAGCUCACUGGUCUAGUGAUUUUGCGCGGAAAAUAUAACGGGGCUAAAGUAAGUACCGAAGCUGUAGACUUGCGCACAACUUAGAUUAUUUAAGUUUAGAAUAUGAGAAACUAAGUUAUAUGUUUAGUUAUAUUUUUACUGAUUUUUAUAGAGUAAAGAUAGAAAUAAAACUUAGUAAAAUCAGUAAAAAUAUUCUUAGACUAAAGUUAAGUAGUUUAAGUUGUGUGCAAGUGGUAGGAGAGCGUUCUAUUUGCGUCGAAGGUAUACCGGUAAGGAGUGCUGGAGCGAAUAGAAGUGAGCAUGCAGGCAUGAGUAGCGAUAAUUAAUGUGAGAAUCAUUAACGCCGUAAACCCAAGGUUUCCUACGCGAUGCUCGUCAUCGUAGGGUUAGUCGGGUCCUAAGUCGAGUCCGAAAGGGGUAGACGAUGGCAAAUUGGUUAAUAUUCCAAUACCAACAUUAGUGUGCGAUGGAAGGACGCUUAGGGCUAAGGGGGCUAGCGGAUGGAAGUGCUAGUCUAAGGUCGUAGGAGGUUAUACAGGCAAAUCCGUAUAACAAUACUCCGAGAACUGAAAGGCUUUUUGAAGUCUUCGGAUGGAUAGAAGAACCCCUGAUGCCAUCGAGCCAAGAAAAGUUUCUAAGUUUAGCUAAUGUUGCCCGUACCGUAAACCGACACAGGUGGGUGGGAUGAGUAUUCUAAGGCGCGUGGAAGAACUCUCUUUAAGGAACUCUGCAAAAUAGCACCGUAUCUUCGGUAUAAGGUGUGGUUCGCUUCGUAUUAGGAUUUACUCCGAAAGCGAAGAAACUUACAACAAAGAGUCCCUCCCGACUGUUUACCAAAAACACAGCACUCUGCUAACUCGUAAGAGGAUGUAUAGGGUGUGACGCCUGCCCGGUGCUCGAAGGUUAAUUGAUGGGGUUAGCAUUAGCGAAGCUCUUGAUCGAAGCCCGAGUAAACGGCGGCCGUAACUAUAACGGUCCUAAGGUAGCGAAAUUCCUUGUCGGUUAAAUACCGACCUGCAUGAAUGGCGUAACGAGAUGGGAGCUGUCUCAAAGAGGGAUCCAGUGAAAUUGUAGUGGAGGUGAAAAUUCCUCCUACCCGCGGCAAGACGGAAAGACCCCGUGGACCUUUACUACAGCUUGACACUGCUAUUUGGAUAAGAAUGUGCAGGAUAGGUGGGAGGCUUUGAGUAUAUGACGCCAGUUGUAUAUGAGCCAUUGUUGAGAUACCACUCUUUCUUAUUUGGGUAGCUAACCAGCUUGAGUUAUCCUCAAGUGGGACAAUGUCUGGUGGGUAGUUUGACUGGGGCGGUCGCCUCCCAAAUAAUAACGGAGGCUUACAAAGGUUGGCUCAGAACGGUUGGAAAUCGUUCGUAGAGUAUAAAGGUAUAAGCCAGCUUAACUGCAAGACAUACAAGUCAAGCAGAGACGAAAGUCGGUCUUAGUGAUCCGGUGGUUCUGUGUGGAAGGGCCAUCGCUCAAAGGAUAAAAGGUACCCCGGGGAUAACAGGCUGAUCUCCCCCAAGAGCUCACAUCGACGGGGAGGUUUGGCACCUCGAUGUCGGCUCAUCGCAUCCUGGGGCUGGAGCAGGUCCCAAGGGUAUGGCUGUUCGCCAUUUAAAGCGGUACGCGAGCUGGGUUCAGAACGUCGUGAGACAGUUCGGUCCCUAUCUGCCGUGGGCGUAAGAAGAUUGAAGAGAUUUGACCCUAGUACGAGAGGACCGGGUUGAACAAACCACUGGUGUAGCUGUUGUUCUGCCAAGAGCAUCGCAGCGUAGCUAAGUUUGGAAAGGAUAAACGCUGAAAGCAUCUAAGCGUGAAGCCAACUCUAAGAUGAAUCUUCUCUAAGCUCUCUAGAAGACUACUAGUUUGAUAGGCUGGGUGUGUAAUGGAUGAAAGUCCUUUAGCUGACCAGUACUAAUAGAGCGUUUGGCUUAUCUUUAAUAAAGCAU